GACGAACGCUGGCGGCGUGCUUAACACAUGCAAGUCGAACGGAAAGGCCCUGCUUUUGUGGGGUGCUCGAGUGGCGAACGGGUGAGUAACACGUGAGUAACCUGCCCUUGACUUCGGGAUAACCUCAGGAAACUGGGGCUAAUACCGGAUAGGAGCACCGUCUGCAUGGUGGUGGGGGGAAAGUUUCGGCGGUGGGGGAUGGACUCGGCGCUUAUCAGUGUGUUGGUGGGGUAGUGGCUUACCAAGGCUUUGACGGGUAGCCGGCCUGAGAGGGUGCCCGGCCACAUUGGCUCUGAGAUACCGCCCACUCUCCUGCGGGAGACAGCAGUGGGGAAUAUUGCACAGUGCGCGGACGCCUGGUGCAGCAACGCCGCGUGCGAGAUGGCGGCCUUCGUGUUGUACACCGCUUUCGCCUGUGACGAAGCGUUAGUGACGGUAAUGGGUAAAGAAGCACCGGCUAACUACGUG
rnacentral:rRNA from 1 species